rnacentral:tRNA from 1 species
AGUCCAGUGGUUAGGACUUGGCGUUUUCAUUGCCAUGGUCCUGGGUUCAAUCCCUG